rnacentral:lncRNA from 1 species
CCUGUGAAAGUUAGCGAAUGUGGGGGUUGUGAGGCUGUGAAUAGAACAUGCAAGGAUUCUCCAAAACCACUUGCUGGUUUACAAAUCAACUUCAUUGCCUUACACCAAGUGGCAGUAUGACAGAGACCUGGUUAAACAUCUCAUGGGAUACAUGCUGUGCAGACUAAGUGCUUGCUGUCAGUAGCCCCCAAAACACUGAUGGAAACAUACUAACGCUGUAUAAUCAUUGUAUGGCUUAUAAUAGUUAAAAAUAUAUGUGGUAGAAAAGUAGAAAUUCUUACCUAUGUAUGUUCAUCAGCUUUUUUCCUGCCUUCAAGCCCUAAGUCAUUAGUAGACAAAUUGUCCUGCAGCAGAGUGAAGAAAUAGCAAUAAUGUCAGCCAGAGGCCUUUAAAAUGGUGUGACUACUGAACUCAGGGUGAACCAGCAGCUUGUUAAGGUGCAAGAACCAUCCUCAGUGUGAAUGCACAAUGUUGAUAGGCUUGAACUACAAGCAGAGGUAAUGCACAUUGCAACCCAGACAGCAGAUGAGCAUGAAACAUCUGGAAAGGGCAGCGGGCCCCCGAGGAGAGCUCGUCUGAAACUACACAUGGCCCAGAAGGCACUGGAUUAACCUGGCUGUUAUCAGUAUGGUCCAGGAAGGGAGGAGGCUCAAGCCAUUUGGAAAAAUAAAAAUAAACAUAGAGAGAUUCAGAUAUCAGAUGCAAUUUGCAUUUGGUCAUUUGCCAGCCAUCUCAAGUGUGAAUUUUCAUUGCCCUUCCCUGUGAGCAACUGUGCACUUGUGCAACAUUAACUGCCUAAAUCUGCAGUAUUCCUGUGUUGAAUGAGGGUACCCACAGAGUAAGCACAUAAAACCUAGUUCAUGUUAGGUGACCCCAGGUUUAAUGUUUCUUGCCUUCAGAGAUGCUGCAGGUGUGGUUCUCAAAUCAAGCCUAAGCUUUCUGGAGAGCUGUCAGAGUGCCAUUGAAGGCUGUGCUGCAGCAGGGUCUGCUGCAAUGGAGACAGGUGUUUGUUUGGCCAGUCCAGGCUACUGAGCACAGUGAUCCAAGCUUUCCUGUCCUAAUGUCAGCCCAUGUGCAGGUGAGCUUGGGAAGGUCUGGGACAGGGAAGUUCUCUUCUCAGGCUCACUGAGGCUCACAAUCUUGCAGUGUGAGCUUCUUGCUGUAGGUUGGCUCUAUGUGGUCCUGUCAGCUUUCUGUGCCAUGUCCAAUAUCCCAAAGGCUUGUUUACAAACAAGUCUGCAUUGUAACUAUGUGCAGCUUUGGAUGCCUAAUGUUUUAUAAGAAAAAGGGUUUGCCUGGACUCAGCUGAAGAUCAGAACUGCAAGGAGCUGUGAGGCAAUAAGCACAGAGAAGUGAGACAGGGAGGUAUGGGAAUGAGAAAGAAGGGUACAAAGCAGGUUUGGGCU